rnacentral:rRNA from 1 species
AUGUUCAAUUAUAUUUUUAAUUAUUAGACUUUUUAAUUAUUGUAUAUAAUAAAACAAUUUUAGUUGGGGUCGGACAUUAAGAAUAUAAAAACUACUUAUUUUUAAAAUUUUUUGUAAAAUAUUUAUUGAUCCUUUAAAAAGAAUUAUAAGAAGAAAUUACCUUAGGGAUAACAGCGUAAUCUUUUUUGAGAGUUCUAAUCGACAAAAAAGGUUUGCGACCUCGAUGUUGGACUAAAAUUUAGACAAGGUGUAGCAGCUUUGUUUUAAGGUCUGUUCGACCUAUAAUAUUUUACACGAUCUGAGUUCAGACCGG